AAGUCGUAACAAGGUUUCCGUAGGUGAACCUGCGGAAGGAUCAUUAACACGAACAAUUAUCUAAUUUUCAACUCUCCGUGAACAUUUACCCUCCCUAGAUGUUGGUUACGCUGACUCUAGGCUACCGUUUUAAAACCAAAUUCAAAUUUGGUUUUAUCUUCAAUUUUUUUACACCAAAUUUACUUUUUUGUUUUGUCUUUUAUUGUUUACGCAAUAACAGAGAAAUCAAAUACACACUAAAAAACCAUAUUAUCUUUGAAAAAAGAUUAUGUUUUUUUUCUAUUACGAAAUAAUAGGAAGUUUAUAAAACAACUCUUAGCAAUGGAUAUCUUGGUUCUC
rnacentral:misc_RNA from 1 species